UGAGCUUGGUUGUCUUAUUGCAGACAUUUCAUUACCCAACCAGACACGACAAGAGAUCAAGAGAGACUUCUGCCACUCAUUUCAAGCCUCUGCCAUCUCAUUUUACCUUUCCUGCCUAGAACUGUGUUGGCUUUUUUGGCAGCUGCUGCA